GACUCUCAGUGAUAGAUAUGUCGGCUCCCACAUCGAUGAAGAACGUAGCAAAAUAUGAUACUUGGUGUGAAUUGCAGAAUCCCGUGAACCCUCGAGUCUUUGAAGGCAAGUUGCGCCUGAAGCCAUUAGGCCGAGGGAACGUCUGCCUAGGCGUCA